ensembl:lncRNA
GUUCAGUGUGUGUUCUGAUUUGCUCUACCUACCCCGCUGUCGCUUUUCGCUUUGGUUUACGAGGGGGUGACAAAGACUGCGAACUCCAAGUGGGAGCAAAGUAGCGUGAUUUUGUCCCGGAGAACCCACGUCCAUGAGAGAUGAUAUGGAACAGGAAGACGCCAAAACAGCCGAGGUUCCUGGAGGAAGUUUCCUCUGCUCAGCCAGCAGGGUUCCAGCAGCCUAAGGGGCGCACUGAGACCACCUGGGGUGACCUCGGAGAGGAAUAUCAACAGCUGGGGUCAGAAGACUGUGGAAAGGGACAGAAUGACUAUGGCAGGGUCUGUCACUGAGCCUGAGCUCACUGAUUUGGUUAGACUGGCUGUCGAUCGAGCCCCUACCCUUCUGUCCAGGUACUCGGUAGGAAAGAAACCCUGCUACCCGACGCACAGAGGUACUGAUCGCUGCUUUGGAUAAUGUUGGCCUUUAUAGUGACCUCAAAUGAGACUGUGCUUGACAAAGGGAAGAGUAGAUGAGCCAGUUUGGACCAGCUCUCUAGGAAUAAAGUGUCUUUGUG